UCUGGUGAUGAGCAACUAUAGCUUAAUCAUUAGCACGUGUCAUAAUUGGGAGUUAAUUAUUGUUUGUUUCAUCUUUAUUGUGCCUUUCUUAGUCCUUUUAAGCGAUGCUUCAAGUUGCACUGCUGGCAAGCUUGCAAGCAGACUGAGUAAUAGUAUCCUAACUUUGAAGCAGAAUACGCGAUUAGAGCAACUGCAUAGUUCAGAAAGUUGCUGUGCUAGAUAUUGCAGACAGCAGGCCACCAGAUUCCCAGGCAUGUACUCUCAGGGUCUGAAAUAGGACGUGGCUGUUGUCCUUGCUUGAGAGGCAGGGAGAGGAAGGUUGUCUUGCACACCAUUGUUGACCUGACUUAAUCAAGGGUAGAGAAGAAGGAGCUGGAAUGAUAUUCAGAAGCCAAUGAUAUUCAGAAGCCAAGAGCUUCUGAAAUCUGAAGAGUGUGGCUCAAAUCACUGAUCAAGUCCGAUGAUGCAGAGCUAUGGGGGUUUCUCAAAAGACAGUGGCAAUGUGUUCCUGAGAUAUGUGUGGCUUGUGCUAGUGGUGGAAAGGCUAAGACUGUGAAGAGGGACACUGGAGUAACUGGAGAUGAGUUCUCUUGCUGAUUUGCCCUUUGGAGUAAGUGUGUCCCUGGCUCUCUGAUCUUUCUUACUUACUUACUCUCGUGUGUGUGUGUGUGUGUGUGUGUACACACACACACACACACACG